AGUCGAACGGCAGCGCGGACUUCGGUCUGGCGGCGAGUGGCGAACGGGUGAGUAAUGUAUCGGAACGUGCCUAGUAGCGGGGGAUAACUACUCGAAAGAGUGGCUAAUACCGCAUACGCCCUACGGGGGAAAGGGGGGGAUCGCAAGACCUCUCACUAUUAGAGCGGCCGAUAUCGGAUUAGCUAGUUGGUGAGGUAAAGGCUCACCAAGGCGACGAUCCGUAGCUGGUUUGAGAGGACGACCAGCCACACUGGGACUGAGACACGGCCCAGACUCCUACGGGAGGCAGCAGUGGGGAAUUUUGGACAAUGGGGGCAACCCUGAUCCAGCCAUUCCGCGUGUGCGAUGAAGGCCUUCGGGUUGUAAAGCACUUUUGGCAGGAAAGAAAUCGCACCGAUUAAUACUUGGUGUGGAUGACGGUACCUGCAGAAUAAGCAC
rnacentral:rRNA from 1 species